CCAUGCUGGCCACUGGCGGCCAAGGAGAUGGCUUUCUUGAGUGGGUACUUUCCUAAGUACUGACCUGGUAGCUCCCCCUGGAGCCACGGCCCGGGCCUGAGAGGUCACCAGCAGCCUCCGCAGGAUUUCCACACCGGCAUCUUCCUUGGCCCUCUCCUGCCUUGGCUCAACUCAAUUCCCAACAUCUACAGUGUCUUGAGCACUGUGUGUGUCGGGCACAUUCACAGCCAUGGCCACUCCACCAUCUACGUGUCUUAACAACUGUGGAAGCCCAGAGAAGUGAAGCGACAUGCCCAAAGCCAGCCAAGCCACGGAGAGGAGAAGGCAGACAGCCUCAGCUGCCCCGACUCCGUGUUGUUCGCACUCCACUGGCCUCCGGUUCCCUUUCUGGGCUAUUUUGGUUUGUUUUCUGUGCCCUCUCCCCUCCACCAGGACUGUUGCCCCAGGCAAGUGCUGCUCAUUCUCGCUCCUGCCUCAACUGUGAUGAUCAUGACGAUCAUACACUUUAGCUCAGGCACCGUUCUGAGUUUCCUGUGGAAUACCUCACUCAACCUCACAGUAACCCCAGGACACAGGCACUAGCCUAUCCCGGUUUUAUACAAAAGGAAACCACAGUACUAAGAAAAUAUUUUACCCCAAAUGCCUGAGGAGAGAAAGAACUGGGCUUUGAACCAUCAUGAACUCUCAAUUUUCCUGCCAUGAGGAAGCUCUGACAGGCAGCCUCUGAGCCAGCACUGAGACGCUACUGGAGUCCCUGCUGACCCUCUAGUCCCAGCUACAUGCUCUCCUCUAACCUGGGUCACGCUCUCAAGCAAGAGUGCCUGAGGCCCCAUCCCUGGUCUGUGGGGGAAAAAGAAAACAACACUAGUAGCCACCAGAAUCAAAGCCACCAGCUCUGCAUAAGCACAGCCAGAUGCUGGCCUGAGGGAAAUCAGGCGGGACGGUACAGACAUCCUGCUUCCUUCUGCUUCCCGAAGAGUGGGCCCAGGUGGCACAGGCAGAUAUACUCGACUUUCCAGAACUGGGAUUCCAAAGCGUUUGCCAUUCCAGAACCUGCACAGCACAGCUCAGCUCUGGCUCAUGCUGUGACAUAUCUGCCUUUACAUACGUUCUCCUGAAGGCAGGCUCCACGGCCACACGCACACCAACAUGAAGCUAGCUGGGGCGGCCACUGGUGCUGGGAAGCAGUGCCCCUUCAUGAAGCUUCCAGGAGGGCCCCUGACAGGGAUGACUAUGACACAGCCAGCCCCCUCCCCAGCUAAGGCUUUGAGCAUACGUUACAAACGUCUGGAAGAAGCCCAGGGACAUAUGAAGUCACCAGCUCCAUUCUGCUGGGCAAAUCAGGCUCCCUCUCUGGGUCUGCUGGCCUCCCUGGACGAAGGCGCAGCCCACUCUACCUCACGGCUGCCAACAGAGACAAGUCUACAAAAGCACAGGCCUGGUGAGCGGCCCAGGACACUGGUGAGCAGCACCGUUUGGGCCUGAAGCAUAGCUGGACAGUGGGAUCAUCUGCGUUAGUGGCGCAGAUGUUUGUCCUGACAGUCUACACAUGGUAGCUGAUGAUGUAAUGUGCUGACGGAGCCCUGUCUGGGCAGCUUUUAACAAUGAAGUCUGUGGUCUCUAGGCCAGCCUGUAUCUCAUGAGGAAAUGGGAGGGAAUGAAAUGUUGGAGAGAGAAAACCAGAAGAGACAAGACACAGUUGUCCCGCUGCCCACACUGAAUGGCAGGUGCCGUGGGCAGACUGCACAGCUGUUCACCAGCCUGGCAACUCUGCCCAAGAGACCUGACUUUUGAAGAAGGUGGGGACUAAAAGCAUGAAGCCCUUUAAAUCAUAUCUAAGAGCUAAUGUACUCCCAGUCACUUUAUUUGCUUUUAAAAUCGGGGUGGAAUGAAGAAUAUUAUCUUCUACCUUCCUAAGCUCUUCUUUAAAAUUACACUUUUUAAGUAUCGAGCUAACGUUCCAUAAUGCACAUGCAGAUGAAAAAUACUCAUCUAUUUAUUCCUGGCUAUCCUCCUACCCAGCUCACUUUCCCAGAAGAUCUUGCUCUCCCUCUUUCUCCUCACACUUGGCCAGAAGCUUUACUCCUGGACAGAAAAGGGCUUAACAAGUUCAGCUACUCAGUCAUGAGGUGGGAACUUGGUUCUGCCACAACCCCAGCAAGGACCUUCACAUCUACACUGUGCGCCCUUGACAGCAACUGUGCCUGGGUCUGGCCCACAGCCUCCGCCAGUCCCAAAAGCCCAAAAAGAGGUGACAUGGAAGCUUCGGGGUCUAGCUCCUCCCACUGCCUGCUUCCCACUGGGCCGAAGGUCCGUCCCAGGAUGCAGCCCCUGUCCCAUGAUGGAGGAUGGCAGAGUUUUGGGAAGGAAGCCUCGCCUAUCACUUUAUCCAGUGUGAUACUAAAAAGCUGCACGUUGGAACCAGUGAAGCAGGUGAAACCAGCUAGCCGGGACCCUCGCCAAGUUACCACUUGCCACCAAAAAAAGCCCCCUUUCUUUGUGCUACCACCCCCAGUCUCCAAUGCCAAGGGCUGCUGCACAGACUUAUUUACUGUCCCCAUGGAAGCUCUAAAACCGCUGACACCCAUUUGCUGGUCUGCAGGAGACUCCGUAGGACUGCUGCCUCCUCCACGGUGGCGACAGUGCUAAGAGUGGAGCCUCAGAUCAAGCAGUCCUGGGUUCAAAAUCCUGCCAACCAUUUAUUAGUUUUGAGUGUUGGCCAACUGACUGCACCUCUGAGCUUCAGUUUACCUGAAAAGUGGAUAUAAUGACAGCAACCUCACAGAAAGACAAGAGGUUUUGACAAAAUUUGACAAAAUGCCUAAGCACAGCAUACGGCAGAGCAAAUCCUGGCUAAACUAUCAUUAUCAUCACCACUUUUACUGUUCGUCCCCUGUGAAGUCAUUUCACAAGAGUCUCGCCUAUACAGCAAAGUAAGAACAGCCCUACCUUGAGGGUUGCUGGGAAAAUUAAAGACAGUGAAGCAUGGAACACUGUGCCAGGCAACCCGCUUCCCUCCUCCUCUGUGGACCGUGCCCCCAUCCCAGCUGUUGGGAUGCGCGGCUAACUGUGUCUGGGGCUCUGUCAGCAGUGUGUGCAAGAAUGCAGGGCUCAGGAGUGGCUUUACCGUCAUGCCCAGGGUGCCCAGCGCCUUCUGCCGCAUCGCCAUGGCCAUUCGCUUCUUCUCUGCCCGGGUCUCCCUGCGGGCUGCAUCAAUCUUCUUGUUCACGUCAGGGUGCUCCCUCAGAGCCUCCAGCAGGUUCUCAGCCAGGGUCCCGAUGCCCUCAUCGCUGGACACCUGCUCCAGCUUGUGCAGGUUUGUGAUGGAGUCCGUGCCUAUCAGAACCUGCUCGUGAGAGAGGAGACACGCAUGCCGCAACCAGGUGGACAAGCCUUCUUCCCAAGAGCUUAAAGGUCUGGAAACAUCAACCGGACGUGGACAGCCCCAGCAUAUACUCAGUUUCAACAUGACCCUUUGAUUCUACACUUCAAGCGAUCUGGACAAAUGGGCGAGGGUCCGGCUCUGCCUCUGACCUUUGACCAAUCACUACAAUCUUCAGCUUCAGGGUCCCUAUCUAUAAAAUGGGGGCGAUGGCAGGACUGCGGCGAGGGUUAAAGUGGACAACCAUCAGUCCGAUGUAAAGCCUCCAGCUCAGUGAAAAGGAGGGGGGCUCAGGUGAGAUACCCUGGAGAAGCAGCACCAAGGAAGCCCAGCAGCCUGUGACAUCCACAGGGGCCCAGCUAAGCUCUGCGUCUGGGGACGUUCCUCCUCUGGGCCUAGCAAGCCAGGCGUGCAGACAAUGCUAACCCAGAAG